rnacentral:RNase_P_RNA from 1 species
ACAGCAGGCCACCUUAUCGCUGCAACAUAGGUUGGAGAGGAAAGUCUGGACACCAUAGUGCGGCAUAGCGGGUAACACCCGUCCACCGAAAGGUGAGGACCAGUGCAACAGAAAGCAAGUACAGUUCGGCUGUAGUGAAAUCGGCAAACUCUAUGCGGUGAAACGCCAUGUAAACCAGCACUUGAGGGCUGCACGCUCGAGUUGGAGGGUAGGCGGAUUGAGCUUUUGGGCAACCAGAAGCCUAGAUAAAUGAUAGGGAUAUACAGAAUCCGGCUUAUGGCCUGCUUUUAUU